ACUACAUUGUGUACUUCUGGAAGUACGUGGAUUGGAACACUUUCGUCAGAGAACAGUGAGUCAUCCUCCGAAGGUCAGCAAAUGGUGACCCUGUUUACUGAGCUCCCGUGCCCAUCAAGGGUUCUCGAUCCCGGCUUCCACUCCAGCACCUGGGGUUCAGCAGUCUGCACAGCGGGACCAGAGGCCAGCUGCAUCAAGACUUGCAUCAGGCCAGCCAUGCUAAAAGCUGCACAGGAGUCGUGUUAAGUGGCUGCUGAUGGAAACCAAACACUUCCUGGACACCUGCGGCCCCGGAGCGAAAGCUGGACUGGCGAGGCCAGACACAAAGUCAUCCAACGCUAAAGGUCAAAAAAUGAUGACGAAAUGCAGAGAUGCAUCCUGUCCUUCUACCGGAAGAUUGAGUCAUCUUUUGCGGGUGAUGCUGACGUGCGUGGCCAAUCGGAUGAAGCGGAUGCACUGAUUUUGACUCGAGGCAAGAGCUACAGUUACUCAUGCGGAUGGACCGGUGCCACACUGAGAGAGCCGACUGGUGGAGACGGAUGUCCUCAUUGAUUGUCGUCACCAGCUUCCAGAGUCCACAGCCCAGUCCAUUCCUACCUGUAAGACAAACAAGACAGAGAGGAGCGGUGCCGAUGUCAUGCAUCCCAUUAAGCACUUAACCAGAGGGAGAGCGUGAGAGAGAGAGAGAGAGA